GUUGUCAAUGAUGAUUCCUCACGUUUCUUUUUGAGUUUAACUGACCAUGAGAAUACUGUACAUGCACUACCAUCUGAGACAUU